GUGGGGGAAUGGGGGCUCAAUGUGUGGGGCAAUGGGGUGUGGGGUGGGACCCCAUUGGGGGACCCCAUAAACUUUGGGGUUCACCAUAUUGGGGGCUCAAUGUGUGGGGCAGUGGGAUGUGGGGUGGGACCCCAUUGGGAUCCCAUUGGGGGAAUGGGGGCCCAAUGUGUGGGGCAAUGGGGUGUGGGGUGGGACCCCAUUGGGGGACCCCAUAAGGUUUGGGGUUCUCCAUAUGGAGGUCCCAUUGGGAGGGGAAUGGGGUCCCAAUGUGUGGGGUAAUGGGAUAUGGGGUGGGGUGGGACCCCAUUGGGAUCCCAUAGGGGGAGUGGGGGCUCAAUGUGUGGGGCAAUGGGGUGUGGGGUGGGACCCCAUUGGGGGACCCCAUAAGGUUUGGGGAUCACCAUAUUGGGGGCUCAAUGUGUGGGGCAGUGGGGUGUGGGGUGGGACCCCAUUGGGAUCCCAUUGGGGGAAUGGGGGCCCAAUGUGUGGGGCAGUGGGGUGUGGGGUGGGACCCCAUUGGGGGACCCCAUAAGGUUUGGAGUUCUCCAUCAGUGGGGUCCCAGCAGAGGAAUGGGGACCCCAAACUGUGGGGCAAUGGGAUGUGGGGUGGGACCCCAUUGGGAUCCCAUUGGUGGGGGAAUGGGGGCUCAAUGUGUGGGGCAAUGGGGUGUGGGGUGGGACCCCAUUGGGGGACCCCAUAAACUUUGGGGUUCACCAUAUUGGGGGCUCAAUGUGUGGGGUAAUGGGAUGUGGGGUGGGGUGGGACCCCAUUGGGAUCCCAUGGGAGGGGAAUGGGGGCUCAAUGUGUGGGGCAAUGGAGUGUGGGGUGGGACCCCAUUGGGGGACCCCAUAAGGUUUGGGGUUCUCCAUAUGGAGGUCCCAUUGGGAGGGGAAUGGGGUCCCAAUGUGUGGGGUAAUGGGAUAUGGGGUGGGGUGGGACCCCAUUGGGAUCCCAUAGGGGGAGUGGGGGCGAAAUGUGUGGGGCAAUGGGGUGUGGGGUGGGACCCCAUUGGGGGACCCCAUAAGGUUUGGG
rnacentral:lncRNA from 1 species